rnacentral:rRNA from 1 species
GACGAACCGUGCGAACGUUGUUCGGAAUCACUGGGCUUAAAGGGCGCGUAGGCGGUCUAGCCAGUCCGGGGUGAAAGCCUCCAGCUCAACUGGAGAAGUGCCUUGGAUACUGCUGGACUCGAGCGAGGUAGGGGUGAUGGGAACUUCCGGGUGGAGCGGUGAAAUGCGUUGAUAUCGGAAGGAACGCCGGUGGCGAAAGCGCAUCACUGGACCUCUUCUGACGCUGAGGCGCGAAAGCUAGGGGAGCAAACGGGG